AGCAGUCUCCAUGGCUAUGGUUUACAUCUAUUAAACCCACUAGGACAUUCACCAACAAAUUGAAAUACUUUGUCAUUCCAAACAGCUCCAUAAGCCUGAAGAAAAAAAAAAAGAAAAACUCUACCAAACUUUAAUGACAUUUGCAGAAGCUUUUGCUGACAGGGGAAAUAGGAAAAUGUUGCAAUGUUUUAGAUUGUCUAGAAAAGAAUUUCUUUUAGAGCCAGAAUAACUGAUUAGAAUAUAUGACUAAGUAUUUCAGUAUAUUAAAGACAAGGAGCUCCUUUCGGUUGUAAAUGCAAAUAAGUUUAAAAAACUUAUGUGAAAUUAAAUGUGAUUCUCUUUCUUUCUCUCUCUUUCUCUACUUUUUCUUAUUCCCCUUGCCAUUAAUUUGUCAUGUGACUGAAAUCUUAUCGAGGAUAUAUUCCUUUUAUAAUACUGAAAAAAACCCACAUGCACAUAAUAUAAGUCUGCAAUUGAAGAAAUGAAGGGGGAGAAUUGUGUCAGAAUUUGAACUCAGGCCUUCCCCGCUCUGAGUUCGAAAUUCUAACCACUGAGCAACAGAAGAUAGAAGGCUAAUUGAUUAAGCUGUCAUUGGAGAAUUGGUGCAUGUGAAAAAAAAGGUGGACAGAGGUGCUUAGAGAAGAAAUAAAAUGUAAGAUAAUAAUUGAUUUUCCCCCUUA
rnacentral:lncRNA from 1 species